rnacentral:rRNA from 1 species
GAUCCUGGCUCAGGAUGAACGCUAGCUACAGGCUUAACACAUGCAAGUCGAGGGGCAGCAUUGGUCUUAGCUUGCUAAGGCCGAUGGCGACCGGCGCACGGGUGAGUAACACGUAUCCAACCUGCCGUCUACUCUUGGACAGCCUUCUGAAAAGGAAGAUUAAAUACAAGAUGGCAUCAUGAGUCCGCAUGUUCACAUGAUUAAACGGUAUUCCGGUAGACGAUGGGG